GAGGGAGGGAGGAAGGAAGGAAGGAAGGAAGGAAGGAAGGAAGGAAGGAAGGAAGGAAGGAAGGAAGGAAGGAAGGAAGCUCUAUGAUUGAGGAAAGCCAGUCCUCUGAGUAACAAGCUGCAGCAUUUUGUUUCUCCUAAGGAAGAAUGUACACAGCUUUAAGCUGUGCUGUCUCGGGUUAGCAGGGAGACAGAAAGAUUAUGUGCUUGAGGGCUUUUGGACCAAGAUUACAGUGGACUGACUGUAGGGAGUGAAUUAAAGUCAUCUCCCCAGACCUAGCCCAAGCCAUGAUUUCCCUGAACAGAAUCUUCACUCCUGAAAGAAGGUGUAAAAAGGCAGCCCUGUACAGUGGGGUACUCAGGUUUCUAACUCAAACCUCAUAAUCCAGUACAGAAUAGAGGGGUCUGGUUUGGUACAGCUACCUUGGUGACUUUGCAGCCUCCUGUACCAAGGAGGGACCUUGGUGGCUAAUGGCUGAUGAGAAAGGGCAAGGGUAGAGUGCAGGAAAAGCCAGGCCUUUCCUUUAGCUAGGGCCAGCAGGACCCACGGCAGGAAUUACCACUAUUAUAGAUUCGGGGAGGAAAAAUGUUGGAGACUUUGGGUAGUUUACACUGUGGUGGAAUACUUGUCUAGUAUGAAUGAGGCCCUGGCCUUGACUCUCAGCAUCAAAGAAAUAGAUAGAUACCUAGAAAACAAUUAUCUAAACUCAUAAGCAUUUAGUUCAUAAUCACAUAAAUAAUGAAACUGUUUAAAACAACAACUAUUCAUACUUUUUCAUUAUUGUUGUUGUUGUUGCUAUCGUGUCCGACUGAACUGUAGAGCUUUUUCUCUUUGAAUCGAGUACUUACCGCAGUUUGGAAGCCGUUCACCAACAGAAAGUUCACAAAUUUCACCACCUCCAUGGCUGUGUCCAUAGAAUAAGUGAUAAAGACUUUCCCUAAGAGAAAAUUUUCACAGUUGUUGAAAGCAAUCGAAUUAUUCUUUUUUACACAGCCAGUCUAUGUAGUAUGCAUUGCCUGUUGUGCUGGAGGGUGGUCCAAGGGCUUAUGCUUGUAGUAGUGUGGGUUGCUGUCCUCUGUGAGACGGGCUGGGAGCUGUCCAAGCGAGUACAUGCUGUCCAGAGUGAACAGAAGACAGAAGGGGCAGGGGAGAGUAAGGGCAGGCUCAGACAAGCCUUAGCGGGUCUUUGGAACGCCACAGGAGAUGUUACCACCCACAGCCCAAGUGGCCUUCAGCUCAAGCCACUGCCUUGUUUCUUAGAGACACUUGGCCCUGUGCCCAAGGAAAAUACUCUCCCAGCAGGCUAAGAAGCUAGGCUUGCUAAGGGGCCACCCAGCAGUGCCUGCUUUUGAUCUCUUGAUGCUCUCUGCUGCCCUGAACUCUUGCCUGACAAGACCAAGUAGGGGGUGGGAGAGGAUGUGUUUGCUUGCCCUGCCCCCUUUGGCUCAUUUUGGAGAGAGGUCAGGAAGCAGGAGUAGUCUGAUGCCCAGAUCAGAGACGUGAGUGCAGCUUCAGUGGUUUAAGGGGGACACAGUGCCUCAGGACAGUUCAGUGUUGCAGGUGGUCUCUUCUCUCACAAGCAAGCAAGGAGCCGUGGACAGAACUGUUGUGGACAGGCAUGCCUUAUCCAGCCAGAACCACUCUUUCCUCAGAUUAAAUAAAGUAUUGGAGAAACGUCUUCACUAGCAGUUUGCUGUGGUAGAUGAAUAAUCUCUAUAUGUUGCCUUUUAGUGUGGAAUGCAUCAGUUAAAAUCUCAAGAAACCCCGAGGCAGAGGAUUAAGAGAUACUGAAGAGAAGAUGAGUCUGUGUGCAUUUAUCUGUGCUUAGCCUGCUCCGAAUGGGAACUCAGCUCUCAAAUGAAGGUGUGUGUGGUAUGUGAUGGUGGAAGUAACCAGCAGCCAGGCAAAUGGCAGAGCGUGGCCCUUUUCCACCUCCAUGUGUAAUAAUUGCAGGACUCCCUUCCCAGGUAAGAUGACAGAAUAUUGGGACCGUAUGCCAUGUAAGCCCAUGUCUGUCCACUCAGAUAUUUUGUUUAAUUGAAGUAUAUAUGAUUUUAAAGUGCCUCAGAAACAGAUUUUUUGCGUGAAAACCAGAGUUAUCAUGGUCAUAGAAGUCUUCCAGAGCUGGAAGUGACUUCAAGUAGAGAUUCAACAAAAGCAAUUAGCAAAGCAAAGGGCUGGGCUUGGUUCUGAGUGUCCCAGUUCUGGAAAGAGCGAGCCUCUCUAGCAGAUGAUGAUUCAGAAGUAGUGACUGAUUGCUUAAGAUUUCUGGAACUAAGAAUCCUAGCUGGCCUCACUCUCAGAACAUUCUGGUGAUAUUUCAACAUGUCUGGUUCUAGCAGCAAAAUGUGGGGAACGAAUCACUGCCUGACAAUGAAUGGAAUAUUUCUUUAAAUAAAACUAAAUUUCUUGAGUUUGC
rnacentral:lncRNA from 1 species